GAUGAACGCUGGCGGCGUGCCUAAUACAUGCAAGUCGAGCGAACGGACGAGAAGCUUGCUUUUCUGAUGUUAGCGGCGGACGGGUGAGUAACACGUGGAUAACCUACCUAUAAGACUGGGAUAACUUCGGGAAACCGGAGCUAAUACCGGAUAAUAUUUUGAACCGCAUGGUUCAAAAGUGAAAGACGGUCUUGCUGUCACUUAUAGAUGGAUCCGCGCUGCAUUAGCUAGUUGGUAAGGUAACGGCUUACCAAGGCAACGAUGCAUAGCCGACCUGAGAGGGUGACCCGCAACCCGGUAACAGAGACCCGCCCCACACCCCUCCGGGGGCCACCGGAGGGAACUCUCCCGCAAUGGCCAAAAGCCUGAGGGGGCACCGCCGCGUAAGUAAUAAAGUUCUUCGGUCCGUAAAAUUUUUUUAUUGGGAAAAAACUUAUUUGUAAUUAACUGUCCACAUCUUGACGGUACCUAACAAGAAACCAACGGCUAACUACGUG
rnacentral:rRNA from 1 species